rnacentral:sRNA from 1 species
GCGGAGGAAAAGAAACCAACAGGGAUUACCUCAGUAACGGCGAGUGAAGCGGUAACAGCUCAAAUUUGAAAUCUGGUCCCCUCUGGGGGCCCGAGUUGUAAUUUGAAGAGGAUGCUUUUGGCGAGGCGCCUUCCGAGUGCCCUGGAACGGGACGCCACAGAGGGUGAGAGCCCCGUAUGGUAGGACGCCGAGCCUCUGUAAAGCUCCUUCGACGAGUCGAGUAGUUUGGGAAUGCUGCUCAAAAUGGGAGGUAAACCCCUUCUAAAGCUAAAUAUUGGCCAGAGACCGAUAGCGCACAAGUAGAGUGAUCGAAAGAUGAAAAGCACUUUGAAAAGAGAGUUAAACAGCACGUGAAAUUGUUGAAAGGGAAGCGCUUGCGACCAGACUUGCGCCCGUCGGAUCAACCGUCCCUCGUGGGCGGCGCACUCCGGCGGGCUCAGGCCAGCAUCAGUUUUCCUGGGGGGAGAAAGGCGGUGGGAAUGUAGCUCUUCGGAGUGUUAUAGCCCGCCGCGUAAUACCCCCGGGGGGACUGAGGACCGCGCGAAAGCAAGGAUGCUGGCGUAAUGGUCGUCAGCGACCCGUCUUGAAACACGGACCAAGGAGUCGUCCUAAUAUGCGAGUGUACGGGUGUAAAACCCCUGCGCGUAAUGAAAGUGAACGGAGGUGAGAGCUUCGGCGCAUCAUCGACCGAUCCUGAUGUUCUCGGAUGGAUUUGAGUAAGAGCAUAUUGGGCCGGACCCGAAAGAAGGUGAACUAUGCCUGUAUAGGGUGAAGCCAGAGGAAACUCUGGUGGAGGCUCGCAGCGGUUCUGACGUGCAAAUCGAUCGUCAAAUAUGGGCAUGGGGGCGAAAGACUAAUCGAACCUUCUAGUAGCUGGUUUCCGCCGAAUUU